AGUGAACGCUGGCGGUAGGCCUAACACAUGCAAGUCGAACGGCAGCACAGUAAGCGCUUGCUCUUACGGGUGGCGAGUGGCGGACGGGUGAGGAAUACAUCGGAAUCUACUUUUUCGUGGGGGAUAACGUAGGGAAACUUACGCUAAUACCGCAUACGACCUACGGGUGAAAGCAGGGGAUCUUCGGACCUUGCGCGAUUGAAUGAGCCGAUGUCGGAUUAGCUAGUUUGCGGGGUAAAGGCCCACCAAGGCGACGCUCCGUAGCUGGUCUGAGAGGAUGAUCAGCCACACUGGAACUGAGACACGGUCCAGACUCCUACGGGAGGCAGCAGUGGGGAAUAUUGGACAAUGGGCGCAAGCCUGAUCCAGCCAUACCGCGUGAGUGAAGAAGGCCUUCGGGUUGUAAAGCCCUUUUGUUGGGAAAGAAAAUCAGCAGGUUAAUACCCCGCUGUUCUGACGGUACCCAAAGAAUAAGCACCGGCUAACUUCGUG
rnacentral:rRNA from 1 species